rnacentral:rRNA from 1 species
AUGAUGUGCGAGAAGAAGUUGUGCAAGCACAUCAACGUGAGCACCGUGACAGUCAUCCUGGCGCUCACCGAGCAGCACGGCUGUGACUGGCUGAAGAAGGCGUGCAGCGAGUUCCUCGGGUGUCUGGACAACCUGAGAGCAGUGGUGGCCACGGACGGCUUUGAUCAUUUGUGCAGGAGCUGCCCCACUCUUAUGAAGGACAUAAUCCUUGGCGUGCUGCCGGCUAAGUAG